GCAUGCCCAGAAGGUUGAGCCCUACUCAGCCUCAUCUGGGUACUGAGUGGGGGCCAGGAUUCAGGUCCAGCCAGUUUCACAGCAGAGCCUGUGCUGUUGGCCAUGAUGGUAAUGGCACUUUCCCACCCAGUCCUUUUUUUUUCAAAUUUAUUUAUUUUGAGUGCUGCAUUCUCUGCCUUUUAUAGUUAAGAAUGUUUUCAAGGUCUGGCGGGAGAUUUUUGUGUUUUGCAUCCAUGAAUGCAGUCAGUGUUUGCAUGUAAAUAGGGAGGGUCAAUUCUCCUGGGCCCCUCUGCUGUGCACCUCAUUGCCCAUAGAAUGCUCCUCUCGGAUCUUGCACCAGAGCACUGGAUGAUGAAGCAAAGCCUUGCAGAGACCUGUGAGUCUGGGGGAGGAAACCAAGACUCCAGGGUGGAGUGAUUGGCUGUAUAUUUCACCUGCAGCCAAGCAAGACCCAGAAGUCUUCCAGUGCUUUGGAGGUUCACAAGAAAUAUGGUGACUCGACUGACACCACAUUAGCGGAGGCCCAGAAGAUUAACAAUGGCUCAAGCCAGGCGGAUGGCACUCUCAAACCAGUGGAUGAAAAAGAGGAGGCAGUGGCCGCCGAGGUCGGCUGGAUGACCUCCGUGAAGGACUGGGCGGGGGUGAUGAUAUCCGCCCAGACACUGACUGGCAGAGUCCUGGUUGUCUUAGUCUUUGCUCUCAGCAUCGGUGCACUUGUAAUAUACUUCAUAGAUUCGUCAAACCCAAUAGAAUCCUGCCAGAAUUUCUACAAAGAUUUCACAUUACAGAUCGACAUGGCUUUCAACGUGUUCUUCCUUCUCUACUUUGGCUUGAGGUUUAUUGCAGCCAACGAUAAGUUGUGGUUCUGGCUGGAAGUGAACUCUGUAGUGGAUUUC
rnacentral:sRNA from 1 species